GUCUUUUUGAUAAUAAUUUAAAGUCUGGCCUGCCCAAUGAUAAUUUGAAUGGCCGCGGUAUUUUGACCGUGCAAAGGUAGCAUAAUCAUUAGUUUUUUAAUUGAAAGCUGGAAUGAAUGGCUGAACGAGAAAAUUACUGUCUCAAUUUUAUUUAAUUAGAAUUUUAUUUUUAAGUAAAAAAGCUUAAAUAUUUUUAAAAGACGAGAAGACCCUAUAGAGUUUAAUAUUUUAUUGUUAUUUAAAUUUUUAUAAUAAUAUUAUUAUGAUAAAAUAUUUUAUUGGGGUGAUAAAUAAAUUAAAAAAACUUUAUUUUUAUUUAAACAUAAAUUUAUGAUUAAUUGAUCCAUAUUUAAUGAUUAUAAGAAUAAAUUACCUUAGGGAUAACAGCGUAAUUUUUUUAGAGAGUUCAAAUCGAAAAAAAAGAUUGCGACCUCGAUGUUGGAUUAAAGUUAAUUUUUGGUGUAGUCGCUAAAAAAUUAAGUCUGUUCGACUUUUGAAACUUUACAUGAUCUGAGUUUAAACCGGUGUGAGCCAGGUUGGUUUCUAUCUUUAAAAAAAUAAAAUAUUUUAGUACGAAAGGACCAAAUAUUUAUAAAAUUUAUUUAUAUUUUGAUUAU
rnacentral:rRNA from 1 species